rnacentral:rRNA from 1 species
CGUAGGCGGUGAGACGAGUGUGUUGUGAAAGCCCCGGGCUUAACCUGGGAAGAGCAAUGCAAACGGUCUGACUAGAGUAUAUGAGAGGGUGGCGGAAUUUCCGGUGUAGCGGUGAAAUGCGUAGAGAUCGGAAGGAACGUCGAUGGCGAAGGCAGCCACCUGGCAUAAUACUGACGCUGAGGCGCGAAAGCGUGGGGAGCGAACAGGAUUAGAUACCCUGGUAGUCCACGCUGUAAACGAUGAGGACUAAAGGUUGGUAGGGGAACCUAUCAGUCUUGAAGCUAACGCGAUAAGUCUUCCACCUGGGAAGUACGGCCGCAAGGUUGAAACUCAAAUGAAUUGA